rnacentral:rRNA from 1 species
UAGGGAAUCUUCGGCAAUGGACGAAAGUCUGACCGAGCAACGCCGCGUGAGUGAAGAAGGUUUUCGGAUCGUAAAACUCUGUUGUUAGAGAAGAACAAGGACGUUAGUAACUGAACGUCCCCUGACGGUAUCUAACCAGAAAGCCACGGCUAACUACGUGCCAGCAGCCGCGGUAAUACGUAGGUGGCAAGCGUUGUCUGGAUUUAUUGGGCGUAAAGCGAGCGCAGGCGGUUUCUUAAGUAUGAUGUGAAAGCCCCCGGCUAAACCGGGGAGGGUCAUUGGAAAGUGGGAGACUUGAGUGCAGAAGAGGAGAGUGGAAUUCCAUGUGUAGCGGUGAAAUGCGUAGAUAUAUGGAGGAACACCAGUGGCGAAGGCGGCUGUCUGGUCUGUAACUGACGCUGAGGCUCGAAAGCGUGGGGAGCAAACAGG